UGGGCGCUGAGGGGAAGGAAGUCUUUGGGGGCGCGGUUGUGAGGAGGUCUCGCAUCUAGUGAGGCUUUGAAAACGGGAGAAGCCCCUCCCCUUGGGCCCCGCCCUCGCAGGGACCCUCGCGGGCGCCCUCCACCCUUCACGAGACCCCCCCCCCCCCGUCAGGCAGGCAGGCGUGGGCGCAGGGGCUGACUCAACUCAGGGGCAGGGGCCCAGUGCCGCCUCUGCUGCCCCUCCGAGGGCGCCUUUGGCUAGUCAAGGCACCUGCCCGCCGCUCGCCCCCGCCUUCAGCCAUUGACAACUCCGAGUCCCCCUUCGCCUCCUCCCCUUUCCGCCGCCACCAUUCACAAGUCCCAUUCACCGCGCGCCGGAGCCCCACGCCCACCCGAGGCAAGGCGGCAGCCAGGCAGGCGAGCGGGCACGCUCUCCUCUCUCUUCUCCGCCCGGCAAAGGGCUCAAGGCGCCACAAAAGGCUGGCCUCGGCUUGCUCGCUUUCCCGCGGCUGAGGCAGAAGGGGUCUCCUGCCUCCCCUGCUUCCUCCUCCUCUUCGCCGCUAACAAAGGGAUUUGGCCGGCGCACGAGGCGGAUGCGGUGAGAGAGGGACUGCUCCCCCGGCAGAAGGAGGAAGGGACGGGCAGGAAAGGCGAGCCAAAGGGGGGAAAGAAGCCCUCCCCCUCCCACGAUGGGCUGCUGCACCGGGCGCUGCACGCUGGUCUUCCUCUGCACGCUGCAGCUGUUAGCUGCCCUCGAGAGACAGAUCUUUGACUUCCUUGGAUUCCAGUGGGCUCCUAUCCUUGGUAAUUUCCUGCACAUAAUAGUUGUCAUUUUGGGUUUGUUUGGAACUUUACAGUACAGACCUCGAUAUAUAGUUGUGUAUUCGGUAUGGACGGCUCUCUGGGUCACAUGGAAUGUUUUCAUUAUCUGCUUCUAUUUGGAAGUAGGUGGCCUCUCUAAGGAAACAGAUCUCAUGACCUUUAACAUCUCAAUGCAUCGAUCCUGGUGGCGAGAACAUGGACCAGGCUGCAUACGAAGAGUGGUGCGUCCUUCAGCUCCUGGGAUCUUAGAGGAUUUUUCCUAUGUCUCUGUGACAGGCUGCAUCAUGGACUUCCAGUACCUAGAGGUCAUUCACAGUGCCAUCCAAAUACUACUCUCUUUGGUUGGUUUUGUUUAUGCCUGCUACGUAAUCAGUGUUUUCAUGGAAGAAGAGGACAGCUGUAAGUACUGAAACACGCCUUCCCAUCUCUGGAGCCACAAUCUUGGGUUGAUUUCAUAGGUGGACUUGACACUUACUCCUACCAACAAUCCCCUCAGGAACAUAUUGAGUUAAAGCCUGUAAAUCCUGUCUAAAUAAGUAAUGGACACUGAUGUUCCACUCGUGUUUAGCAGUAUUUUCCUGAAUCAGAUGUUUUUGAAGGAAACUCCCGUUCUGCAAAGCCGUCUUGCAGAAGAGACACCUGGACUGUGGAUUCCGCUUCCAAUGUGUGACUGGUCACAGCCUGGAAUUUCUUCUUAUUGAUGUUAGGUGGAUCCUUGUUAGAUGAUCUUGAAUUUCCUUUCAAUUAUUCACUUUUAUGAACACUUGUAAAUUGUAACUCUUUUCUUUUUAAUGUUAUUUUUACAAAUAUCUAGUGUUUAUGGCAUGAAACAAUUGAAUGUGUGAAAAAGUCUCUUUCCCCCAAAAAAAAUCAGCGAAUGUUUUUUGGACUGAUACAAUAAUACUAGCCUGCAUGUGCUAGCAGUAUUUUGAUACACACACAUCCACAAAAAGCACUUGGUUGUGGGAUAGCUAGCUCAGGAGUGAGAUUACUGAGUUUAACCUCCUGUGUAUUCAUCAAUUAGAAUUUUUUCCAGAUAUUGUAAUUUUUAACAUUGCAGUCUAGUAGUGCAGUGCCACGUAUUUAUCCAGAAGCAAACCCUGCUGAGUUCAUUGGGACCAAAUAAGUUGCAAAAGAUCACAGUCCUGAUGUUUUCAUCACAUGUCAGCCAACUGAGUGGUGCUUUCUCCCAGGUAAAUUUGCAUAAAAAUGUGAUCUAGUUUGAUAUGGUUCUUCCUCCAGUUUUCCCUUUGUCCUGUAUGUUUGACUAUAUACAUUGGCCUAGAUUAGAUUUCAGUGUGUGCAACUGAGUUGAUGGAAGCAGACAUGCAUGCCCUCUCUUCUCUGUAGUAAACCAUCUAGUGGUCUGCAAAUGCCACACAGAAGGUCAAGGAGAGCUUACUGCUGGAUGAAAUAAUGUGUGGUACAGCUAGAAAGACGAAUCCUUGAAAACUGGACAAAAGUGCCUCCUAUACAUAGAGCGCUUCCAUUUACAGAAGAUAGAUGCUGGGCCCAGGCUAUUAACUGCAGAUGUUAGUGAAUGGCAGAGACAUGAAUAACUUGGUUUCAUCCUCCAGAAAUUCAGGACAGAUGUCUGUAAUUUGCAUUUUUUAAAAUCUCCUAAGGAGCCAAAUGUGAAUGUGUACAAACUGGGGUAAAAAAUCCAAGGGUGGUACCAGCUACAGCCUUAUGAGCCUCUGAAAAAUUAAUGAUGGCCUUAAUUUAAAAGCGAACAGAAGGCAUUUGAUUAUGAUAAUGUGUAUAAAAUUUGUAGAUUUAUUUGUAAAUACAUUUAGAAUAAGAGUAUGUAUCAAUGUGACUUUUUUUAAAAUUUAGUUUCCAACAGUAUAAAAAGUGAGAUCACACAACUGAUUUUUCUGUGAAUAUUUGGCUAUCUAAACUAGUUGCUUGUCUUUGUUUCUUUGGUGUGUAUUGUCAACAAUUAUGCAAUUCUCAUACUACAGAUUCCCUUCCCCACAAAAUCGAUACUUUGCAAUGGCAGUGGAGAGUCAUAAACUUCCAAGGAGUCUGUCGUUGUGCCUGAACUCUGUUUGAGAGGAAAUACUGUUAAGAACAUAUUUGUGGAGUUUUUCUCCUUUAAACUAAAUUUAAAGUUCUGAUUAAGUGUUUUGCACAAACAUAUCUUUGUGGAAAUGCUGGAUACCUUUACUUUCUCCACACAUGUUGUUGAUGUAGAUCUAUAGCUUGCUUCCUAAAACUAUGAUUUUGAGCAUCCUCCUUCAAGAACAUAUGCUUUCCCCCAGUCCUUAUUCCCUUGUUGGAUUUGAAUUCCCUCUCUUGCAUCCUUUGUUUGCCUUUCUAUGCUAUCUACAUCAGUGCCAAACACUAUCAGUACCUCUUUGAGCUAUCCUAAGAGCUUGACUCUUAAAGAUUUGAAGAAGACUUGCUAAUUCUGAUUAUGAGACAGUGAACAUUAAUCACAGUUUCUGCUGGUGCACUUACACAAGUUCUCCCCGCAACGUCCAAAAAAGACAAGUGAAUAGGAGGCGUUUCCCCUGGGCAAAAGGUAAACUGAUGAAGGUCAAUUUUGAAAACAAAGGAUUCCUCAUUGCAUUCAGUGUUUUCCAAGAAACCACACAUAAAUGCACACAUAGAGGACCUAUUCUGCUGGAACAAUUGUUAUCUUGUGUUUAGUUUCUGUUACAGUUAGGUGCUAAUAUCUAAAGUGACAGUCUUCAUAGAGAUGCACUGAGACUACUUCUCUGUUAAACUACAAAUAGCUGAACACUAUAUUAAAGGUGACUUAUCUGGAUACUUUAAAAAUUGCAUCUAGAAAUAAAAUAGACCACAUACAUAUCUUAAGAUACCGGUAACUACAAAUGCAGUAUAAAGACAUUAUUGUCUUUAAGAUGAUAUAUGCACCUUGCUCUAAAAAUCAUUUCUACAUAAUCUUUCUAAGCAAAAUACUUUUGGAAACAAUUUAGUGUCUCCUAAUAUUCUUGUGUGAAAGAGUGAAUCCAGAUUGUCUGUUAAGUUGACAUGUGAUAGCAGCUGUCUUCUAAUUGACAUCUUUGAACAAGUCACCAUAGAAUAAAAGUUUCUAAUGA